rnacentral:rRNA from 1 species
UAUCCUACGGGGGGCAGCAGUAGGGAAUCUUCCACAAUGGACGAAAGUCUGAUGGAGCAACGCCGCGUGAGUGAAGAAGGGUUUCGGCUCGUAAAGCGCUGUUGGUAGUGAAGAAAGAUAGAGGUAGUAACUGGCCUUUAUUUGACGGUAAUUACUUAGAAAGUCACGGCUAACUAAGUGGCAGCAGCCGCGGGAAUAAGGAGGUGGGAAGCGUUGUCCGGAUUUAUUGGGCGUAAA